CAAGGAGACUUGCUGGUGGACAGCUGGUGUCUCUCCUGCUUCGUGUCCUCGCAAGGGAUCCUGGACUGGGCACUUGGAACACACAUCUUGAUGCCUGCCGAUGGCCUGGCUGCUUGGACACGGCAACAGAUGGUCAUUGUGACGUGAAGGUUAUUCCAAUAUCCACAGAGGAGGAAAAAGGACCAGCGUGAUCCAAACUUACAGAUUUUCCAUGUCGGAAGACAACAGAGGGAGCAUCACUGCGGCUGCAACACAGCACACUCCUGCCUGUUUCCAGGCUAAAGUCACUGCGCCUCCCAUCAUCUGGGCAGCACAAAAACAGGACCAGAAGCACAAAAACAGGACCAGAGUCCUGCGUGGGGAUGGGAUGAGGAAACAACCAACCCAUCCACAAACACAGCCAUCUCUGCCUGAAGGAUGUGGCCCCAGGACAGGAUGC